rnacentral:rRNA from 1 species
GACGAACGCUGGCGGCGUGCUUAACACAUGCAAGUCGAACGGAAAGGCCCUGCUUUUGUGGGGUGCUCGAGUGGCGAACGGGUGAGUAACACGUGAGUAACCUGCCCUUGACUUUGGGAUAACUUCAGGAAACUGGGGCUAAUACCGGAUAGGAGCUCCUGCUGCAUGGUGGGGGUUGGAAAGGUUCGGCGGUUGGGGAUGGACUCGCGGCUUAUCAGCUUGUUGGUGGGGUAGUGGCUUACCAAGGCUUUGACGGGUAGCCGGCCUGAGAGGGUGACCGGCCACAUUGGGACUGAGAUACGGCCCAGACUCCUACGGGAGGCAGCAGUGGGGAAUAUUGCACAAUGGGCGGAAGCCUGAUGCAGCAACGCCGCGUGCGGGAUGACGGCCUUCGGGUUGUAAACCGCUUCCGCCUGUGACGAAGCGUGAGUGACGGUAAUGGGUAAAGAAGCACCGGCUAACUACGUG